UAAGCGGAGGAAAAGAAACUAACAAGGAUUCCCCUAGUAACUGCGAGUGAAGCGGGAAAAGCUCAAAUUUAAAAUCUGGCGGUCUUUGGCCGUCCGAGUUGUAAUUUAGAGAAGCGUCUUNCGCGCUGGACCGUGCACAAGUCUCCUGGAAUGGAGCGUCAUAGAGGGCGAGAAUCCCGUCUUUGGCACGGAUGCCUGGUGCUUCUGUGAUGCGCUCUCGAAGAGUCGAGUUGUUUGGGAAUGCAGCUCAAAAUGGGUGGUGAACUCCAUCUAAAGCUAAAUAUUGGCGAGAGACCGAUAGCGAACAAGUACCGUGAGGGAAAGAUGAAAAGCACUUUGGAAAGAGAGUGAAAUAGUACGUGAAAUUGUUGAAAGGGAAACGCUUGAAGUCAGUCGCGUCGACCGAGACUCAGCCUUGCCUUGGCUUGGUGUACUUCUCGGCCCGACGGGUCAGCAUCAAUUUUGCCCCUCGGAUAAUGGCAAGGGAAAGGUGGCACCUUUACGGGUGUGUUAUAGUCUCCUGUCGAAUGCGAGGGGUGGGAUUGAGGAACUCAGCGCGCACCUCAGUGUCGGGGCUUCGGCCCACGUCACGCGCUUAGGAUGCUGGCGUAAUGGCUUUAAACGACC
rnacentral:rRNA from 1 species